CUGGCUCAGGAUGAACGCUAGCUACAGGCUUAACACAUGCAAGUCGAGGGGCAGCAGGACGAUAGCUUGCUGUUGUCGCUGGCGACCGGCGCACGGGUGAGUAACGCGUAUCCAACCUUCCCCUUAGUAGAGGAUAGCCCGGCGAAAGUCGGAUUAAUACUCUAUGUUGUAUUUUGAGGACAUCUGACGAAUACCAAAGAUUCAUCGCUAAGGGAUGGGGAUGCGUCUGAUUAGCUUGUUGGCGGGGUAACGGCCCACCAAGGCGACGAUCAGUAGGGGUUCUGAGAGGAAGGUCCCCCACAUUGGUACUGAGACACGGACCAAACUCCUACGGGAGGCAGCAGUGAGGAAUAUUGGUCAAUGGGCGAGAGCCUGAACCAGCCAAGUAGCGUGCAAGGACGACUGCCCUAUGGGUUGUAAACUGCUUUUAUCAGGGAAUAAAGUGCGGCACGUGUGCUGUUUUGUAUGUACCUGAUGAAUAAGGACCGGCUAAUUCCGUGCCAGCCGCCGC
rnacentral:rRNA from 1 species